UAGAUGUGUUAGACCAAAUGGGGAC
rnacentral:piRNA from 1 species